rnacentral:rRNA from 1 species
UACGGAGGGGGCUAGCGUUGUUCGGAAUUACUGGGCGUAAAGCGCACGUAGGCGGACUUGUAAGUCAGGGGUGAAAUCCCGGGGCUCAACCUCGGAACUGCCUUUGAUACUGCAAGUCUCGAGUCCGGAAGAGGUGAGUGGAAUUCCUAGUGUAGAGGUGAAAUUCGUAGAUAUUAGGAAGAACACCAGUGGCGAAGGCGGCUCACUGGUCCGGUACUGACGCUGAGGUGCGAAAGCGUGGGGAGCAAACAGG